GAAGAGGUGACUCAUAUGACUGCAAAGGGGCGUUAGUUGUUGUUGCGCCGGAGCCAGUAAGAAAAGAACUGACGUCGACCGUCUAGUUGUAAGAAAUAUAUACGUAAGUUACCCAGUACGAAUCAAAGAGCUAUCAUAAACUGCCGUGUCAUCACUCCCAGUAAUGUCAAUGAGACCUCAAGUAAUCCAGCUUUAUAAAAAUUUAUUGCACCUAGGUCGUGAAUAUCCCUUGGGCUACGAAUACUUUCGUGAGAAGCUGAAGAAGGCAUUUAUAAAAAACAGAGAAGUAACUGAUCCAGAGCAAAUUAAGAUGAUGAUUUCUCGAGGAGAAUUCGUCAUCAAAGAAUUGGAAGCCUUGUACAUGUUGCGUAAAUACAGAACGAUAAAGAAAAGGUAUUAUGAAGAUUAGAUUUUGUGGUAAAUAGCCAUAACAUCAUGUCAGAAUGCCUGAUUCUUUCUGCAGAACUAGGCAAAAGGUGAUAUUCUUUACUUAAGGUCUUUCAGAUAAGUCUUGAUACAUUAGUACUAGUUUUAACAUGUAAAUAUUCCCACUGUAUUUAAUGGGGUGUGUAUAUUUUACCUAAUACUAGCUAUGUAGUUAAACAUGUACAGUAGAUAUUCUGAAUUGGAGAGUAGAUGGGAUUGUAUGCAAGGGAUUGUAAACAAUAUAAUGGACUUUAGACCAAUAACCUUUAUAAUCUUAAUGAGACACUUCCAAGUACAGUAGUCACUUAGUUGGUUCAAAACUAACCACAGUAUUUU